AGAAUCAACGCUGGCGGCGUGCCUAACACAUGCAAGUCGCACGAGAAAGGGUAGCAAUACCUGAGUAAAGUGGCGCACGGGUGAGUAACACGUGAAUGAUCUACCUCCGAGUGGGGAAUAACUGAGAGAAAUCUUAGCUAAUACCGCAUAACACUUACGAGUCAAAGCAGCAAUGCGCUUGGAGAGGAGUUCGCGGCCGAUUAGUUAGUUGGCGGGGUAAUGGCCCACCAAGACGAUGAUCGGUAUCCGGCCUGAGAGGGCGCACGGACACACUGGAACUGAAACACGGUCCAGACUCCUACGGAGGCAGCAGUGGGGAAUUUUGCGCAAUGGGGGAAACCCUGACGCAGCAACGCCGCGUGGAGGAUGAAAUAUCUUGGUAUGUAAACUCCUUUCGAUGGGGAAGAUUAUGACGGUACCCAUAGAAGAAGCCCCGGCUAACUUCGCGCCAGCAGCCGC
rnacentral:rRNA from 1 species